rnacentral:rRNA from 1 species
GACGAACGCUGGCGGCGUGCUUAACACAUGCAAGUCGAACGGAAAGGCCCUGCUUGCAGGGUACUCGAGUGGCGAACGGGGGAGUAACACGUGGGUGAUCUGCGCUGCACUUCGGGAUAAGCCUGGGAAACCGGGUCGAAUACCGGAGAGGAGACAUCUUGAUGGUGGGUGGGGGAAAGAUUUUUCGGUGUAGGAGGAGCGCGCUGCCUAUUAACUUGUUGGUUGGGGAAUGGGCUACCAAGGGGGCCGCUGGUAGCCGGCCUGGGGGGGUGGACGGCCCACUUGGGGCUGGGGUUCGGGCCCAGAUCCUACCGGGGGCAGCCGUGGGGGAUUUUGGACCAUGGGGCGGAGCCUGAUGCCGCGAAGCCGCGUGGGGGAUGACGGCCUUCCGGUUGUAAAAUCCUUUCGCUCGGGAACAAGCUUUUUGUGACGGUACCUAGAUAAGAAGCACCGGCUAACUACGUG